rnacentral:rRNA from 1 species
CUUGACGACCAUAGAGCGUUGGAACCACCUGAUCCCAUCUCGAACUCAGCAGUGAAACGAUGCAUCGCCGAUGGUAGUGUGGGGUUUCCCCAUGUGAGAGUAGGUCAUCGUCAAGA